CGGUGUUCAAGGCGUGAAUGGUUGAAUACCUAGACCGUAGAUGUGUUAUUGAUCGUCAAUUGUUGACUAUUCUCACCACUACACUCUCUCCCUCUGUCUUCGUUUAUUCUUCUCUUUUCUGGUUACGAGUCUCUCCUCAAUGCUAAUCCCUAAUUUUUGAUCAUAUAAUGAUGAAUUCACUAUAAGAGUUUGUGGGAACUCGUACUUAACAUCCAUCAACAUUACAGGGAAAUGACAGCAACUCUUAAAGCCGGGUCUGUUCCCUCACUGAAUAUGGAAUUUCAGUCUACCGAAGAGGCAGGAGGAUUCUACAGAGCAUAUGGUAGGAGUAGGGGUUUUUUAACAUGCAAGAGGUCAUCAUAUGCCACUAGACGAGGACCACAAAUAACUAGAGUGAUCUUUGUAUGUUGUUGUGAGGGAUUGCACAAGAAAUGUGUUGAUGCAAGUGAUGACGAUGGUGAGAACAAGAAAAACCGUACUUCAACUAUGAGAACUGGUUGUGAGGCUAUGAUUCGUAUAGCUUUGAAUACAAAAUGUAACACAUGGUAUGUUAAUGAAUUUAAGGAUCAUCACAACCAUGACAUAGUACCACCUAGAAAACAAGUUUCUAUAAAGUCGGACAAGGUGUUUCCUCCUGCGACUACAAAUUUGCCAGAAGCAUCUAGCAAGCAUACGCUCCAAGUUGGAAAUGUAGCAUCACUUUUUGGGGAUAACAGCGAAAUGACAGCAACUUCUGAAGUAGGAUCUGUUCAUAAUGAGAUGACAACAAAUUUUGAUGUCGAAUCUGUUCCCUCACUGGAUAUGGAAUUUAAUUCUAUCAAAGAGGCAGGGGCAUUCUACAAACAAUAUGGUAGGACUAGGGGUUUCUCAACACGCAAGAGGUCAUCAUAUGCCACUGUACGAGGACCACAAAUAACCAGAGUGAUUUUUGUAUGUCGUUGUGAGGGAAUUCACAAGAAACAAGUUGAUUCAAGUGAUGACGAUGGUAAGAAGAAGAGAAACACUACUUCAAUGAGGACUGGUUGUGAGGCUAUGGUUCGUAUAGCUUUGCAUACAAAACAUGGCAUGUGGUACGUUAAUGCGUUUAAGGAUGAUCACAACCAUGACAUGGUCCCACCUGAAGGAGGAGUUCUAAUGAAGUCGAACAAGGUUUUUCCUUCUGCACCUAGAAAUUUGGCACAAGCACCUAGCAAGCGCAGACUCCAAGUUAGAAAGGUAGCACCACUUUUUGGGGAUAAUGAGAAUAUUGAAUCCACUCCGAGGAAUGUUUAUAAUCAUCUCAGGAUAAUUAGAGGAUCUUUAAUAGAAGUAAGAGAUGCAGAAGCUGUGAUGAUUUAUUUUAGAAAAAGGACAGUAGAAAAUCCGGGUUUUUAUUAUGCGGUACAAGUAGAUGAAGAAGGGAGGGCAUCAAGUUUUUUUUUUUGGGUUGAUGCACGCUCCCGAAUAGCAUAUAGUCGUUUUGGAGAUGCAGUAACGUUCGAUAGCACAUUCAAAACUAACAAAUAUAGUAUGCCUUUUGCUUCAUUCACAGGUACAAACCAUCAUCAUCAGUCUGUUACAUUUGGAUUUGCGUUGUUGGGGGAUGAGACUGAAAAAACUUUUAAUUGGCUUUUUAAGACAUGGCUUGAAGCAAUGGGAGGAAAUCCUCCAAUUUCUAUACUUACUGAUCAGGAUCAAGCCAUGACGAGUGCGAUUGCUACAGUGUUCCCAAGCAGUCGUCAUGUUUUUGUUCAUGGCAUAUUAAGAAGAAGUUUGGAGAGAAGCUAAGUCAUGUAUUCAACAAGAAAUCCAAGUUCAAGAAAACUGUUAAAGCGGUCACUCGAUUUACCUAUACAACUCAGGAUUUUGAAAGUCAGUGGGAAGCCAUGUUGAAAGAAUUUGGUUUGAUGGAAAACGUAUGGCUUCAUGACUUGUUUGAAAUUCGUGAGAAGUGGACUCCAGCUUACAGUCGAGGUACUUUCUUUGCCGGCAUGAAUUCAACACAAAGAAGUGAUAGUAUUAUUUCUUUCUUUGAUCAUUCUGUGAACUCCAGAAUGUGUUUGCGAGAAUUUGUUGAAAGCUGUGAUCAAGCACUAGAAAGAAUUUAUAUUAGAGAACGGGAUGAAGAUUACGAGUCUAUCCAUGUGAAGCGUAUAUUUGCUUCCCAAGAUUUGUUAGUGAAGCAUGCAUCUAAAAAUCUAUACGAAGAAUAUGUUUAUUAAAGUGCAUGAACAGUUUAAUGCUUCUUCACGAUAUCGGUCGGAAGCAAUUGAGGCUGAUGGUGACGAAGAAACUUAUAGAGUGUACUCGUUAAAUGAUGAAGUACCGAUGGACCAAUUUCUGGUAAAGAUUAAUAAGGUAACGAAGAAAGGUGUGCGUGGUUGCCAAGAAUAUGAAUCCAUUGGCAUACCAUGCAGACAUUUGCAUCAUAUUUUAGUCUAUCGUUACUAUGUGGUGGAGAUUCCGUCUCGUUUUAUAAAGCAAAGGUGGACCAAGUAUGCAAAUAGAUCUUCGGUUUUGAGUAAUGAUGGUUUGGUAAUGAAAGAUCAUAAGCUUGGAACUGAAGCCACGAGGAUUAGUCGUUAUUGUCAGCGGUCAGCUGAAUUAGCUUAUAUAUUGGGUAAAUCUGAGAAAGCUUAUGAUGUAGCAAUGGGUUUCCUUGAUCAAGCAUUUGAGAAAGUGAAGGAGAUAGACAUUGAUGAGCUUAGAGCAGAAUAUGGCAAAAAUACCCAGUUGGAAAAAUAUGCUAAUGAUGAGCAAUUAGUGACAGAAAAUUCAUGUGAUGCAGCUGAGCUAACACACAGAUGAGUCAUGUGCUAGUGCUCCUAUUAAGACGUCUCUCAGCGACCCACGCAUCUCCCAAAAAAAAGGAAGAAAACCUGAUAAGAGAAAAACUGCAGAGUAUGCUCGUUAUGAAAGUGGUACAGAAACAACACAAAAUAACGUAAAAAGUAAAACUUGUGAAGGAGUAGGUCAUGGUUCUCGCAAUUGCGAACAAAUGAGGGAACAAUUGUUUGCUAUCACUACUAAUGGAGGUACAUGACAAGGCUUGUUAAUGGUUGUGUGGGAAGCUUUAGAAAUUAGCCAUAGAUCUGGAGCUGAUGCAGAUGUAAUGAACAAAAUUGUUAAAUGACAGAAGCAACACCUUUUGGAAGACUGCAUCUAUAUUUUAUAUACUUUUAAAUAGGGUUUGUGUUAUUAUAUAGUUAGAACUCGGAAAAUGUAUGCUGGCAACCUCCUAAAGCCUACUAGAAAUGUUUCAGAAUUGGGAGUUAAAAGCCUCCAUAUCUUAUGUUUUCAGGAGGUUAUCAUGUAAAGCUUUAUUGUUUCAUUUCAGAUCACUGUAUUGAGCCAGGACAACAUUGUAUGAUAGACCUCCAUGGAAGAGCUGGAAGCUAGAACUGGCCUUAGAGCUCUUAAAUUGUAGUUAUGGAUUUAAUCCAUUGUUUGCAAGUUUUGGCAUAUAACAGCUCAAGUUGAUGCAUAUAGCAAUGCUCUAUAACAGCUCAAGUUGGUUCAAGGAAUAUGACUUAUACAUAAAUGUGUUUCCACAACAAUGC